rnacentral:rRNA from 1 species
UACGGAGGGGGCUAGCGUUGUUCGGAAUUACUGGGCGUAAAGCGCACGUAGGCGGAUCAGUCAGUUAGGGGUGAAAUCCCAGGGCUCAACCCUGGAACUGCCUCUAAUACUGCUGGUCUAGAGAUCAUGAGAGGUGAGUGGAAUUCCGAGUGUAGAGGUGAAAUUCGUAGAUAUUCGGAGGAACACCAGUGGCGAAGGCGGCUCACUGGCAUGAUACUGACGCUGAGGUACGAAAGUGUGGGGAGCAAACAGG